CCGCUCCACCAGUCCGAGGUCCAGAGGAGCAGACACACAGACCCGGGCCGGAGGCCCCUCUUCUAGCCCUGCGGGAACCGGACAGUUCCCCAACUGGGGACUCUGGAACCACAGCUCCUAAAUCAUCAAAUUCUCAAGCUUUUUUUCCUCUCUUCGUCCCAGCCAUCCCAGUCUUCUUCUUCUUUUUAACUUAUUGUUUUUUUCGCCCCUUUCAUUAUGAAAGUGGUCACGCCAUUCAAGAUUAAGACUUGGAGGGAAUUGGGGAAAGAAAAGAAAGAAUCUAAAAGAAGAGAAGCGACCGGUGCUUUUAAGGGUGUCUAAUUUUCAAAAAGAGACUUCUGGGAGUAUUUUGCUCUGGGCGUUUGGAGCAACUUCGCGGACAGCGGAGCUCGCCCAGCAUGGAUGUUCCAGGUAACCACUCCCGACCUGCCCUCCCCUCCGCAUGCAAGCGCCUUCUGCGUGGAUUUUAACCAAGACUCUCCCUGGUCCAGAUCGAGAGGUGGGGGAGGUGGAGAGAGAGAAGGGAAAUCGUGUAGGAUCGGGGCUGCAGACAGCGGAUAUUUAUCAAGAGCCAACUUCUCCGUUCUUAGAAAGAAUAUUGGAAGAGUUAAUGGGAGGCUGUGGGCGGCGAGGGGGCGGCUUCUCUGCGUGUCUCUGGGCUGGUAUUGAAAUGGCCUGUCUGCUUUCCUGGGAGGAGCGGGGACCGGGCAAAAGUGCAGACGGGCGCGUUCACGGGCGCCUUUCUUCUGAGAACGACCCUGGCCUUGAACGUCAGAGCGGGGAACGAAGGCCCGCGGAGGCUGCUGCGGGCCCCGCGCGUUCCUUCGCGCCCUUCCGCGCCGCUCGCAUCCCCGCCGGCCUCCGCCCCCGCGCGCCACCUCCUACCAGCCCCGAUGCAGGCGCCCGGCCGGGGGCCACUGGGGCUGCGGCUGAUGAUGCCCGGGCGCCGGGGGGCGCUGCGCGAGCCGGGCGGCUGCGGAUCCUGCCUGGGGGUGGCGCUGGCCCUGCUGCUGCUGCUACUGCCCGCCUGCUGCCCCGUGCGGGCGCAGAACGACACGGAGCCCAUCGUGCUGGAGGGCAAGUGCCUGGUGGUGUGCGACUCCAGCCCGUCGGCGGACGGCGCCGUCACCUCCUCCCUGGGCAUCUCCGUGCGCUCCGGCAGCGCCAAGGUGGCCUUCUCCGCCACGCGGAGCACCAACCACGAGCCGUCCGAGAUGAGCAACCGCACCAUGACCAUCUAUUUCGACCAGGUAUUAGUAAAUAUUGGCAACCACUUUGAUCUUGCUUCCAGUAUAUUUGUAGCACCGAGAAAAGGGAUUUAUAGCUUCAGCUUCCACGUGGUCAAAGUGUAUAACAGACAAACCAUCCAGGUCAGUUUAAUGCAGAAUGGCUACCCAGUGAUCUCGGCCUUUGCAGGAGACCAGGAUGUCACCAGAGAAGCUGCUAGCAAUGGCGUGCUGCUGCUCAUGGAAAGGGAAGACAAAGUGCAUCUCAAACUUGAGAGAGGCAACCUCAUGGGGGGCUGGAAAUACUCCACAUUCUCGGGUUUCUUGGUGUUUCCUCUAUAAACACAGAGCCCCCUAGAUGGUGGGGGAAUGGAAUCUGGACCCGGGAAUCCGCCCUUUAAAACACCCUUAACUUGCUGGAAUUGGACACCUUGUUUCCAACCUCCAUCAGACUGUUGCAGUAGAAGAAUGAUUUCCUUUGAAACCUCCAGUACUUUUGUUUUUGUUUUUUGGAAUACUGACAAUUCCUCGGGAACCUGGCCUCUAAUUAGUUUUAGAUGACAAGGUCUUAAGGAGAAAUGAAAUUAUCGAUUUGAGCAAUUUGUACCUGUGAUUGUAAAGUCAAUAUCGGAUUUUAUUGUUGGGACCAUGGACCUCUUUUGUUUGUAUGUUGUGUUGUUGUCCCAAUGGAAGGAGAGCUCCUGACUCCAGAAUGGGCUGCAGGUUGCAGUCAGGGCUUGAAGCAGGAGCCCAGCAAAGAACCACCUGCUGGACAGUCCUUGACAUGUGUUCUGUGUGUGUCUGUAUAGCCUUAAGAAAAAGAAUGGCUUCACUUUCAUUCUGUAUUCUUCCCCCCACCAUGUGGAUGGGAGGACUUGGGAGGGGGAUGGGGACAUUGUGAACCUGUCAAGAAGUGCUUUAUCCAGAGAAGCAAAUUUUGCACGAUUGAACUGCAACUUUUGUUUUGUAUUGUUUGUGUUUUUUCUUGAAAAGCUUUACUUUUCUUUCCACACUCAGCUCUCCCUCCUCAACCCCACUUUUAUUUUUCUUGCUGGGGUUGGGGAGAGAAAAUAUAUGUUGAAUUCCUGGAUAAGACCAAACAAAACAAAACAUUAAAAUACAUGUAUGUUUUGUUUUAGACGAGACCAAACUAAACAAAAAGUAUCUGUUUAUCAAAAUAAAAAUAACACAAUGGACAAUUCUGCUUAUUCUCUCAAAGAGAUUCUAAGAUGCACCUUUAGAACUAUUAAUAGCAACUUGCAUUUUUUUUUUAAAUUUAUACUUCAGAAUCCUUUAAGAAUCUGGUGUUCCUGAGUGGUCCUGAAUCGUAUAAGUUGGGAAUGGAAGCUGUAAUGACCAAGUCCCCUAAACAUACUGUUUCUUUGCCACGUGUGCUGUGACUUCUCAGCGGGUGAUUUAAUUUAUUUGGAUCCACCUCUGAGUGAGCGCACAGUGAUCAGGUGCUUCAAAGCCAACAGACCAGCUCCUCUUCCUCCGGAUCCUCUUUUGAUCUGCCCAGGAAAGGGAUGCAUUGACACUCUCCUGCAUGCACCUGGCGAGAAGCCACCUGGAAGUCACUGUGGUUAAAGAUAUUGGUGGAGGCACCCCAGGAGCACUGUUACAAAUCCUUCUUGUUUUGGCAUCUCGUACAACAACAUUAUUAAGACACAGCUGAGAGUUGAUGGGUGUGUAAUUCAUAUGCCAAGGAAAUGUCACUAAUCCCAAAGCAAUCAAAGAGGAGACCUCAAACCAGAUGUUAAUUUGUUCGUUGUGUAACAAUGUAACCAAAAUAUUGAUGAUGAAAGUCAUAAUUUAAGAUUCAGAAUAAAUGGGUUUGAUGUCUG